GCGGAAGCCGCCUCCCAUCGCCGGCGGCCGGUCGCUGGCAGCGGCAUCUCGGUCCUUGCUGUCGCGCGGCUCCGAGCAUCCCCCCGGACAGCCGCAUCUUUAACCUAUCUCCCUCGGGGCAAGAGGCUCCGGUAGCUCCCGCUGAGCGUCGAGUGGAGUCCGGUGUGCGGUGCUCCCGCUCGGCGCCGCCUCCCGAUCCCUCCCUGCACCCCCCCCCUCCUCCCCCUCCCAGGCUGUCACACGCGGCCAGGCAGCGCUGGGCUUCGACCCAAGCGCUGCCGACAGCUCUGGGCAGAGAGAUGCUCCAAAUGGUCACUAUUUGUUCACCUGAGUAACUUCAAACACCCAGAACACCAAUUAUUCAACAUGAAAGAAGGGCUUCUUUCCGCCCUCAUGCUAACAAACUAACCUACAGACAACGGACCCAGAAGCUGGCGCUCAAGAGAACCAGAAAAAGCAUCAAAAGAAGGAGGCCUCUGCUGUCUAAGGACGCCUUCGUGAGUGCUUCCUUACAGCGUGGGCAAAGGUCAUGCCACUGCAGGAGACUACAGAAAUAAAGGCUGCAGGGCCCCUUCUGUCUGCAUGGAAUGGUCUCACAGAAAGAAAGAAAAAAAAGAAGCUAUAAAAUAAUUUCUUUUUAAGCUAAAUGUGGUACAUAUCUCUAAUCCCAGAAUAUAAAAUAACAGAGGCAGAAGAAACACCUAACUUGAGGAAAGCCUAAGACACAGCAAAUUCCAGGCCAGCCAGGGCUACACAGUAAGACCCUGUCUUGAAAAAAAAGAGUGAUAUAUAUGAUAAAAUAUGUAUGCACACACACACACACACAUACACACACACACACACAGAGGGGGGGGGGGGGGCUGGGAGGAAUUAGAGCUGUGUCUCAGUUGAUCCAGUGCUGCCUAGCAUUCACAAAGCUCUGGGUCCAGUCCCCAGCACUAGCUGGGUGACAGUGUAGUUUUGUAAUCUGAGCACCGAGGAGAUGGAAGCCAGAAGGUCAGAAGUUCAAGGUCAUUCUUGGCUACAUUGCAGUUUCAAGACCAGUCUGGGCUACAUAAGACCCUAUCUCAGAAAAGAAAGAAAAAGAAAAAAAAAGAAAAAUAGAAGAAAUAAGAUAGUUCCUUCUAGGAAAUUGAAUGGGAAAAUGUAAGUUAUGAUGGUUUGUAAUAGUACUUGAUCAUAAAACCCAAAGAACUCAAAAAGAAACGCAAUCUGUCUUCAUCCUUGACAAUUUAAAUGAGACAUUCCAAAAUUAAUAUCUCAAUUUUGUCAUGUAUUCUUAUACCAUUAAUUUCCCCACACACAUUCAAGCAGACCUAUAUUCAAUUCAAAUUAGUGGAGAGCUUCUCCCUCUAGCCAUGUCUCUGCAGCCCUGGGAUUUCAGUACUCCAUCACUGUCUUCAUGGAAAAAUGAUACAACACUAUGGGCCCACUCCUCUUCCAGUCUGCUCAGAACUGUUGGCCCGGGGCCAUGCGGCCAAGGGGGGCUCUCCACUCGAUGCUGAAUGUUUCUUCCCCAGGAUGAGGCACUAACUGACCUUUCGCUGACGUCUGAUGCAUCCGAAUCUUUUUGGAAGCCACAAACUGAAGGACCCUCUCCACAUUACUCUUCAUCUCUUGUUGGUUACUGGGACUCAGCUGCACUCCAGUCAGCUUUUCUCCUGCUGUGAGGAGAAGAAAAACAACAACAACAACACAUACAUCAGAAGGAAGAACAUUAUCACCGUUACAGAGAGCCAGGCACAAGGCUGAGGGUGCAAACACUCAAGUUCUCUAUUAAUAAAUGAGUGAGGUAAGACCUGGUGUGUGCUCCAGGGGAAGUGGUUGGAGAAGAGAAAAAUGAAAGACUUUCAGAACACUUCAGUCUUUCAACUGGAAGCCCAUAGUGAGGUUAUCAGUGUACAUUGAUUAAUACACUAAAUAUUCACAAGUACCCACUGUGUGCCAAACACUGCUCUGGGCACUAUAGAAAGCAGGGAAUAAGGUAAACAGAGUCUCUUCCCUUCCUUUUUUAUAUAUGCAAUGUAGCAAGUCAAUGUUUAAUAUAAUUUGGGGGAAAAAUAAAGACUGAGAAAAAAUAGCAA